rnacentral:rRNA from 1 species
GACGAACGCUGGCGGCGUGCUUAACACAUGCAAGUCGAACGGAAAGGCCCUGCUUUUGUGGGGUGCUCGAGUGGCGAACGGGUGAGUAACACGUGAGUAACCUGCCCUUGACUUUGGGAUAACUUCAGGAAACAGGGGCUAAUACCGGAUAGGAGCUCCUGCUGCAUGGUGUGGGUUGGAAAGUUUCGGCGGUUGGGGAUGGACUCGCGGCUUAUCAGCUUGUUGGUGGGGUAGUGGCUUACCAAGGCUUUGACGGGUAGCCGGCCUGAGAGGGUGAACAGCCACAUUGGGACUGAGAUACGGCCCAGUCUCCAACGGGAGGCAGCAGUGGAGAAUAUUGCAGAAUGGGCGGAAGCCUGAUGCAGCAACGCCGCGUGCGGGAUGACGGCCUUCGGGUUGUAAACCGCUUUCGCCUGUAACGAAGCGUGAGUGACGGUAAUGAGUAAAGAAGCACCGGCUAACUACGUG